rfam:Triticum aestivum genome assembly, contig: Triticum_aestivum_CS42_TGACv1_scaffold_513710_6BS
UGGCAGUGAUUAGAAUCUUACCCGCGCUUCUGAUUUAACUCGUGAAGCACAAGGGAAAACAUGGUUGAAUUUCUUAAUAUGAGCCA